rnacentral:rRNA from 1 species
GGAUCAAAUCUUCGGUCGUGCUUUUUGGUACGUACUGGGGUUAUUGGUUUCUCCCUUCUGACGAACCAUGAUGUCAUUAAUUUGGUGUUAUGGGGAGUUAGGACUGUUACUUUGAAAAAAUUAGAGUGUUUAAAGCAGGCAUUAGCUUGAAUACAUUAGCAUGGAAUAAUGAAAUAGGACGUUCGAUCCUAUUUUGUUGGUUUCUAGGAUCAACGUA